rnacentral:rRNA from 1 species
GAUUAUGGCUCAGAACGAACGCUGGCGGCAGGUCUUAGGCAUGCAAGUCGAACGGAUGACAGAGAGCUUGCUCUCUGAAGUCAGUGGCGCACGAGUGAGUAACGCGUGGGAAACUGCCCUUCACUGGGGAAUAACGUUUGGAAACGAACGCUAAUACCGCAUACGCCCGCAAGGGGAAAGAUUUAUCGGUGAUGGAUGUGCCCGCGUUGGAUUAGCCAGUUGGUGGGUAAUGGCCUACCAAAGCAAUGAUCCAUAGCUGGUCUGAGAGGACGAUCAGCCACGCUGGAACUGAGACACGGUCCAGACUCCUACGGGAGGCAGCAGCUAAGAAUAUUGGGCAAUGGGGGAAACCCUGACCCAGCCCAUGCCGCGUGAAUGAAGAAGGCCUUCGGGUUGUAAAGUUCUUUUAGUCAUGAAGAUGAUGACAGUAGUGACAGAAAAAGCACCGGCUAACUUCGUGCCAGCCGCCGC